rfam:Apaloderma vittatum contig36348, whole genome shotgun sequence.
UAGCUCAGUCAGUUAGAGCGUGGUGCUGGUAACACCAAGGUCACGAGUUCGAUCCCCGU